UCUUUUUCCUCAGUCUGAUCCCUUCUGACCUCGACGGACGAUCUAAUUCAAGCCGAUCAACUUCGAUUAGUAAGAUUCUACAUUCCUCAACUUUAGCAACUUACUAGGUUGGCUAUUGAUGAGGAAGACCUACUAGCUCAAUCCUUGCUGAACUGCUACAUCUAUCUACAGACUCUUCCUCUCCAAAUCUGAAAAGUUCAGAUAAGAUAGAACUCCUUUGCGAUCGAAUCUUCGAUAAAAGGAAAGUCCUCCUCCGAAUCUAUCCGUCUGACAAAUCCAAAAAUCAUCAGGACUCCGAGCCGAAUACGUCUCAAACUCUUCUUCUAUAAAUAAAGACUUCAGGAUCCUCCAAGAUAUGCAAUCAAUCGACUGCUAACUUUCUCUUCUCAUCGUCCUCCAUCUCCUGACUUAAGUAUCGGAGGGUCUACAUUGGAGUCACACCUUCCGGUGUGGACUUAUUUUGCAAAUGCUCAGGCGAAACCUCAAAGAUGGAUUCACCUCAACCACAUCCACCUCGACAUCCGACCUCAGGUGGGGAGAUCGGCAGCAACAUUAGCACUAGAGAAAGGGUCCUCUUCGACUAGUCUUGAGAUCCUAUUUCAAAGCUAGUCCUGAGGUCCUAUUUCUAGAGGAGAGAAAGCUUGUCACCAGUCGUCAAUUGCCAUAAGAACGCGCGAGGGGCAUCGAACGCAUCACAAUGUUCCAAUGGUCGACAAGCAAAUAACGUCCGACCAACUAAUGAAAUACCACCAGCACA
rnacentral:lncRNA from 1 species